CUGGUGGGCCCCUUCUAACUCAGCAUAUCCUGUGAUUGUGGACGUUUAAAGAGCAGUGGCUCACUCGGACUCCCUUAUGCCCGCACAUGAUGAGAACUGCGUUGGUAGGGACAUCUGAGAGGGUGAUUGAUGAAUGCCAACGGAUCUGAGCUGGGCACGGGACACUUGUGGGCUGUCUGGGAUAGCUGAGGUGCCACGUGGGCCUUUCUGAGCAGCCAAAGGUCACGGGGCUGAUCCGAUGCAUCAGCUAUACUAUUCCUUCUUGUGGCUUCAAAACAGAUCUGCCACCAAAUGCACAGCCUUGAUGCCACUUCACAAGGAUUUGACUCCUGCACUCAGCAGACAUGCAGAAGGAACAUCACCUGGCACUGGGAGAUAAAACUCUAACCUGUGCAAGAUUGCCCUGGACAGAGGAGACCUGUGCCUCUUGUGUGAGAAGCUAUUUCAUCUGUUACUGAUGUUGGUGAAGCCAAGGCCUUCCUAAUUGCAGGCUUCCAAAAUGUUUCUCCUUGCAAGGUGCAGUGGAGCUGGGAAGUGGGGCAGUUGGGAGUGCUGCCAGCAAAAGGAAAGGACUGUGCUGUUUGCAGCCUCACUGGGUGAGGAAGCAACUUUGCAAUUACUGUAUGAAGAACUGAGAAGGUGGAGGAUUGCAGUAUAAUGGGCUACACUUGCAUGAACAGCAUUAAAAAGCCCAAGUGUUUUUUACCCCACUGGUAAUGUUUACCUGACGCUGGUUGGAGCCAAUAAAAAUCUGCAAACUCUG